AUCAUACUCCCUCCGCCCCAAAAUUCUUGUCUUAGAUUUGUCUAGAUACGGAUGUAUCAAGUCACAUUUUAGUAUUUUGAUACAUCCGUAUCUAGACAAAUCUAAGACAAGAAUUUUGGGAUGGAGGGAGUACUUA
rfam:Triticum urartu cultivar G1812 contig1171751, whole genome shotgun sequence.